GCCCGCUUUGGCAGUACAUAUACUAUAACUGGAGCGAUACAGAGAAGAUUAGCAUGGCCCCUGUGCAAGGAUAACGUAAAUUCAUGAAGCUUUACAUAUUUUU